CGAGAACAUGGGAUCCUCCUCACAAUCACAGAAACAUGGAGGACAUGAAGACAAAGCCUUAGAGUGCCGCAAUGUUGGUGGUCUCACCAUGUAAAUAACCAAAAACAAACCCACCAGAACCAAAACUAAUCUCACAGUCCCACGACUAGAGGACCUAUGGUCUGAUGGAUAAGCCAUAAAAAAGUGCCCCUGUGUCAAAAAGAUCAAAACUUUCCAAUAAUGUGAAACUCAAACUCAAUCAUUUGAGCAAGUUUGAACAAAAACCCACUUCACAAAAUGGGUCUAUAUCCUAAUGCCUUGCAACCCACCAAAUGAAAAGAAUGUAUAAGCAAGCACACAAAAUGAUUGUAGUGAGUAGUAUUCAAACUCUGUUGAAAUCCAAAAUACAGAGAGAGAGAAAAAAACAG
rnacentral:misc_RNA from 1 species